GUGAGGAAUAUUGGACAAUGGGCGCAAGCCUGAUCCAGCCAUGCCGCGUGCAGGAAGACGCAUCUAUGGUGUGUAAACUGCUUUUGUACGGGAAGAAACACUCCCUCGUGAGGGAGCUUGACGGUACCGUAAGAAUAAGGAUCGGCUAACUCCGUGCCAGCAGCCGCGGUAAUACGGAGGAUCCACGCGUUAUCCGGAAUCAUUGGGUUUAAAGGGUCCGUAGGCGGUUUAAUAAGUCAGUGGUGAAAGCCAAUCGCUCAACGAUGGAACGGCCAUUGAUACUGUUAGACUUGAAUUACAAGGAAGUAACUAGAAUAUGUAGUGUAGCGGUGAAAUGCUUAGAUAUUACAUGGAAUACCAAUUGCGAAGGCAGGUUACUACUUGUGGAUUGACGCUGAUGGACGAAAGCGUGGGGAGCGAACAGGAUUAGAAACCCUAGUAGUCC
rnacentral:rRNA from 1 species